UGAUAUAUUCAUUCCACUAAAUGCGCUGAGUGUCCACGCUGUACUCAGGGAAUCCGGGAGCCCCCAUGAGAUUGCUUCUGGCUCCAAGGGGAAGCUCCCCAUCAGAAGAAUCAGGAUGCUCCCCAGAUGAUUCUAAUUUGUGACUAAGUUAUGAAACACUGGAAAGAGAGUUGCUGAUGUCAAACAAAGGGCAGCUAUAUUCCUCUCCUAUACCUUCGCCACAAAGGAAGAUUGCUUCUGGUCCCCUACCAUGACCCUGAUCUUUUCCUUGAGCACGCAAUCAAGGCCUAGAAGAACAGUCAGGAGCCAUGUUCCUGUCUACCAAGUCCUUAUAGAAGCAGAACUUCAGUUGUAUCUUUAAAAAACACCUGAGAGACUAAAAUUUUACAAAUUUGCUCUUCACAUUUAGGAAUAUGAAAACACUCAAAUAUCAUGAGUACCAUAGUAUCAGAUGGAUGCAAACAGCCACUGUGAUGGGGCAAGUCAUAUGUGUGAGAUGGCAGAAGCUCCAUCAGCCUGGGUCCCUAAUGGCCAUGUACAUCAGAGCUCAUGCGCUCCUACUUCCCCAACCUGGAACCAACUUGGAUUAUUUCAUGAAUAAGAAAUCAACUUUUUGAUAUGUUUUAGCUAUUAUUACCUAUUGAGAUCAAAAUGUCACAGCAAAUAGUCAACCUUAAUAUCCUUUCCUUUCUUUCUCUUGUCCCGUCAUCUUGUCAACAAGCUCUGAUAGGAGAUUUUUAUCAGGCUUGUCAGUUAUCUGUAGGCCAUUCAUAAGACAUACUCUUCUAAACCCUUGCCAUUCAUUCAUGUGCUGGAGAAGAUAAGAAACUAAAACUCAGUUGAGAGUCAGGAAAACAUUUUUUAAGUGUUAUAGAGGCUUCAUCUGAUGUAUUGGCUUCAGUUAUUAGUGCUGCUUGUAGUGCUGUGUUGGGAAAUUAUUUGAGGCAGUGUGGAGGCUAAUAGAAAAGAACAUUGUGAUUAAUUAGCAAUAACUGUCACGGGCAAGUGAGGUAAGAACAAUGGCAUGCAUUCAAAGACUUAAGUCAUUCCUGGGACUGAAGCCAACCCUUUGGAUGUGCACAGUGGGCUGUUCCUCAAAAUACAACCCAGAUUUGUAAGUCCCAUGUAAGAAGCUCUGAUCAUUAAGGCAACAUCCCUGCCAUGGCUCUUACUUAUAUAAAUUGGUGUGAUUUCUCAAAAGCCUUGAAAAGCUUAUGGAAAAAAAAUGUAGAUUUCCCUUUGCCUAAAUUCUGCUUGUUUAGUUUAGAGAUCAGGUAUGUUUCAGGACUCAAAAGUUCUAUUAAAACAGUUUUGAAGAAACCUGCACUGCUGCCACCUAAGCAGUCUGGAUAAGCAGAUUAUUCUAUUCUCUAGGAUUGAGACCUGGUGCCUUUAAAUCUAAAACAAAUUAACUUUCUGUCUGGCUUAUAGACUGGCUUGAAAAAUAGAAAGACACAAAGAAUAUUCCCCUGAUAUAGGUGGUUAAGAAGACCCCCUCCUCUGCUGUGGAAACUAGAGCUUACUCACAGUGGCUCUCAAAUUCUUGGGUUUCUUUUUGUUUUUUAUUGGUUGUUCAAAACAUUACAAUGCUCUUGACAUAUCAUAUUUCAUACAUUUGAUUCAAGUGGGUUAUGAACUCCCAUUUUUACUACGUAUAUUCUUGGGUUUCUUUAGCUACACAUACUUACUGUUCUUUUAGAUGACAAAAUGCUGCAGUUCAGACACGCACAUCUGAGUACAACUUGUACUAUAUGCAAACAAAAUCUCAGCCUAACCUCUUUAACAAAAGCAUUAGAGAUUUUCUAUGUUCGUAGGAAAUGGGAAAGUGUAAUUCCAUUUUAAUGCAAAAUAAAAUCAAUGAGUUAAGUCAAGAAAUUCAGGUCAUUUCUAAUUGUGAAGAAACAGACUUAUCUCAGUUAAUAGAUAUUCUGAAAAAACAAAAACAAACAAAACACAGCUGAUCUAGAGUCUUUAAAAAAAGGAUCAACGUCACAAAAGGAUUAAAAAAAAUACUAAAAUACUGUUAACAUGGUGAAUUACCUUAGAUCAAAAGAGACCAAAGAACACAACUAAAUGCAAUGUGCCUCUCGAAUCAAACAGAACACACAAAAACAAAAUUGGUAUGUUUAGGCCCAUUGGAGAAAUUUGAAUAUAAAAUUUUAUAUUACAAAAUAGGACCCUAUCAAGGUUAAAUUUCUUAAGUGUGAUAACUGUAGAAGGAUGUCCUUGUUCUUUGAACACAGGUGCUGUAGGAUUUAAGCCCUUGGUGUCAAAGUGUCUGCAUUUUUCUCAGAUGUUUCAUACAGAGAGGUAAAGCUAAUAUGGCAAGAGUGGGUGCAGCUAGGUGAAGGGGAGAUAAGCACUUACUAUUCCAGUCUUAUAAAUUUUCUAUAAGUUUGAAUAUUUUUAAAUAAAGAGUUGAUAAAAAUAAAUAAAAUGACAA